rnacentral:rRNA from 1 species
GACGAACGCUGGCGGCGUGCUUAACACAUGCAAGUCGAACGGAAAGGCCCUGCUUUUGUGGGGUGCUCGGGUGGCGAACGGGUGAGUAACACGUGAGUAACCUGCCCUUGACUUUGGGAUAACUUCAGGAAACUGGGGCUAAUACCGGAUAGGAGCUCCUGCUGCAUGGUGGGGGUUGGAAAGUUUCGGCGGUUGGGGAUGGACUCGCGGCUUAUCAGCUUGUUGGUGGGGUAGUGGCUUACCAAGGCUUUGACGGGUAGCCGGCCUGAGAGGGUGACCGGCCACAUUGGGACUGAGAUACGGCCCAGACUCCUACGGGAGGCAGCAGUGGGGAAUAUUGCACAAUGGGCGGAAGCCUGAUGCAGCAACGCCGCGUGCGGGAUGACGGCCUUCGGGUUGUAAACCGCUUUCGCCUGUGACGAAGCGUGAGUGACGGUAAUGGGUAAAGAAGCACCGGCUAACUACGUG